GCAUGAUUUAGAAAUGCAAAGCUCUUUGUGAGAAAUCAGGUGAUGGUAGUGUUUUUCUAAGAAUUGGGAUUGGGGUCAUCAGAGGGUUGUCAGGAUUUCCUGCUGUGGUGCUUGGAACGACCAGUGUUGGCACAGCUAGUCGCUUAGUGCUCACGAGUGCCAAAUUAGUAAAGGACCAAGCAUUAAUCUUGCUUGAUCCUGUGGUUAGAUGAAGUCUGCUGAGUGCUUGCUGUAAAAUCAGAGACUUUGAGCAAGGACAUUUGCAGCACAGGUUAAGGCAAUGAUGACUGAUUGGUAAUUUAAACUCAGCUGUAAAAGUAGCGUGCCCAGGAGCAUUAAAGCAAGCUGUUAAGUGUGGGUAAGGUGCUGGCAGUGGGAAGCUGUCAGCAGGUUGUAGAGAGGGUGUGCGGGAUGUGCUGAUCAUAGGAGUUGGGGUCAGCAUUGCAAAAGAUUCAGGAAAUGACUUUUCAACUCAGGGGAAAAGAAACUUGGCACUGUCAAGAAAUGAACUUGGUAGUCCAGCCUCAAAAUACUGAAUUGCUUGGAGUGGAGAAGAAGAUUUUGUUGCUUCAGGGUGUGAUGAAAUGGUGGAGGGAAGCUGUCAAGAGGCAAAGGGUAGCACAGCACGGAAAGCAGAGGUGUGAAAUGAGAACAGGCAACUGAAUUACCAUCCCUAGCCAACCAAGGUUUUGUACUGACUUUGUGGGCUGGGAUCUCCAUCUCCUCAAUCAGAAAGCCUAGGGAAGCACUCAGACUUGGGAAUCCAAAGAGUUGAUGUGGCUGGGAACUUGUCUGGUGAUUUUCCUUCCUUCCACUGUAUUGUUGUCUAACCAGAGGAGUUUGUGACAGGAACCCACAGAGCUCAGAAAAGGGCUAAGACACAGUCUGCUGCACAGUGUUAGAGGAGAAACCCUGCUGUUGGGGCAGCUGGUGAAAUCUUUCCUCCCAAAAUUUUUGCCCUCAAAUCUCAAAGUCUACAGAAAACGGAUGGCUUGGGCUUUUGCAGGGCACAAGGUGACACUUGAGCUGUUUGAAUUCCCAAGCGAGGAGUGAGGCUUGUGCCUACAGAGCCUGGAGCUGUGUGGGGUGCCUGGUAUGCAGGGCCCUGUCUCCAGGCAGGCAUCUGCCUGCACACGCCGGAGCAAACAUCACCGGUCCUUGGGAGCAGCAGCAUCCACUCGUAUGUCACCCCUGCAAGAGCCCUGCUCGUCACCCCACUGAGACCGAGAGUGAAAAGGCAGCUCGUAAUCCCGAGAGCGGGCAGGGCUGCUACAGGGACAGCCCCAUGCGUCAGACCCCACGCCACAGGGUGUAGCACCACCGCCCGUGCAAGCCUCUCGCUAUGAGACAGCCGGAGCCGCUGCUCCUCCAUCUUACGGGUAAUGCCGGAGCACAGAUGAAUAGGCGUUGAGCUUAGAUUUCACUUGUCGAAAUACUGAAAGUGGAGCCUCACAGAGCGGGGUGGGAUUGGUGCCUGCUCGUAGGCUUUGCCCUAUCUCGAAAAGGAUGCUCGGGUCUCGUGCACGUACACCGCUGGCUCUGCAGAAUGCUGGCACUGGAGAUAAGGAUGAGCCCUUCCCAGAAACCAGGCGCUGAGCACUAGCAGCAUGGUGCCAUUCUGCUGCUGGCUUUAGUAACCCCGCUGCACCACAGGCGAGCCAGGCUCUUGCCACCACAGCACAAAUAAGAAAGUGCCAGCCCGUGAGCCCCGCGCCCGCUUCCUCCAGUGCCGCGUGUGCUGUGCUGGGGCGUCCUGCUCAGCGCUCUCACUGCUCCUGACCUCUUUCAUGACAAAAACCCCAUUUUCAGGGUCACGUGGUGCUGAAAUCUAGGGCGCAGAGAGUCAUUAGUGGCCUGACUUGUUAAAAAAGUUAAAUAACAAGUGUUCACUGUAACCACAGCAGAAAUCAGGAAAGAUCUGAAAGCUUCUGCAAUUUUAAAAAUGUUACAAGCAGUGCUUGUUUCAUUUGGAUUUGUCCAGUUAGGGCUUCAGCGCCAUUGUACCACCAAAAGGAAGUUUUCUGAAGCGAAAAAAAAAAAAAAAGCAGAAGAAACUGCUCCUUCAGGAGGCAGAUGCUCUCUGAUGAGUUGCCACUCUUGGCAUGUUCCUUAUUUCAAGUGAAAUUUAUAGCCACGAGCAGCUAACGCUCGGGCACUUCUGAAGUCCUCAGGAGCUUUAUCCCUGUGUGCAUUUGCUCAUGCAAGAGUUGCAGUGAUGUGACUGAAGUGCUAUUGAAACCACUGACCUGUCUGUGCAAACCCUGCAUGUGUGCUCUGUGUGUUUUCUGCCUGGGCUCUGCGUUCUCCCAGAACUGGGCAUCUC